UACGGGGGGGAGCAAGCGUUGUUCGGAUUUACUGGGCGUAAAGGGCGCGUAGGCGGCCACCGCAAGUCGACUGUGAAAUCUCCGGGCUUAACCCGGAACGGUCAGCCGAUACUGCAGGGCUAGAGUGCAGAAGGGGCAACUGGAAUUCUCGGUGUAGCGGUGAAAUGCGUAGAUAUCGAGAGGAACACCUGCGGCGAAGGCGGGUUGCUGGGCUGACACUGACGCUGAAGUGCGAAAGCUAGGGGAGCGAACGGG
rnacentral:rRNA from 1 species